UGGGAGGUCGUCUAAGGGCAGGACAUCUGACUUUGAAUCAGGCAGUGGAGGUUCGAAUCCUUCCCUCCCAG
rnacentral:tRNA from 1 species